UCUCACUUCAACCGGGUUCUCUCCCUUAAUCUCCCUAAAGCUCCACUCUCUCAACCUCCACACUCUCUGCCUCUCCAUCAACCCAUUGUCUCUGCUUCUAGCAUACCCAACUCAGACCCAUCAGCAAAAACAAAGAAAAAACAUUAACUCACCAUUUGAGAUUUCGACCCCCAAAGACUCGUACCCUUUUUAGACCCAGAUCAGAGAGAGUAAGGGUUGGGGUUUGGAGAGAAUCGGGUGUAGAGAGAGAUGUUGAUGCUUUUCAGACCCAAAUCAAAGAAGGUAAGAGUUUGGGUUUGGAGAAAAUCGGGAAAGAAAGAAGUUGAUGCUUUUUCAGGUUUGAUUGAUGGAGGGAAAUGAGAUUGAGAGACAGAGAAAGAGAUUUUGGUCGAAGGAGAGAAGAAGCCACCAUCGGAGGUGGUGGUUGCGGUGAGCCAGCCUUGCCGAUUUGGUUCAGAGACUUGGGCUUGUUUCAGAGGAAGACCACCACCCGGUGCCAGAACUAAUUACUAGAUUUUACUUUUUAAUGGGAAAAGCUUCACAACUCUGAGGAUGCAGCCAUCACGUUUCCGUAUUUCUUGUGUGGCCAAACCAGAGACAAUGACAAAGGUGUGUGAAAUUGUGAAGAAGCAGCUAGCUCUACCUGAUGAUUCCGUAGUCACUGGAGAGUCAAAAUUUGCUGCCCUUAGAGUUGAUUCUCUCGACAUGGAUGACGUAGACGCCAAGCCUACAUAGAAGCCAAACCUAUAUGAAGAAGAAAUUAAAUUUUGAAUGGCAUGAUUAAAUGGAUGCUAUUCUUUGUUUGAUCACCGAAAGCGAGAAAAGGCGGCUGCUGAAGGGGGAUUAGUGCUAAAUUUCAGAUUGUUUUAUGAUGGUGUAGACCACAUGUUCUCACACUUGUACAAGUUUUACCAUUUUGAUGAAAUGUUGUAGAAAAAUAUAUGUUUUGGAUGUAUGUAGAAACUUCAACAUUUACCUUUAGUAGCCAUUUGGAUGAUUCAAAAAUUGUUUUGAAUGGAAGUAUUUUGCUUAGGCACUAUCUUAUUCAUUACACUUUGGCUUCAAUUUGCAUCCUUAUAGGAUUUGUGAAUGUAAUUUUUAGGUUCCAUGAAUGUGUAUAUUUUUAGGUUGUUUUUAAGUGAAAUAAUAGCCUUGUAAUCAAAGUGUACAUUUUAA